AACUAAGUUUCAACAACGGAUCUCUUGGCUCUCGCAUCGAUGAAGAACGCAGCGAAAUGCGAUAAGUAAUGUGAAUUGCAGAAUUCAGUGAAUCAUCGAAUCUUUGAACGCACCUUGCGCUCCUUGGUAUUCCUUGGAGCGUGCCUGUUUGAGUAUCA
rnacentral:rRNA from 1 species